rnacentral:rRNA from 1 species
UAGGGAAUCUUCCACAAUGGACGCAAGUCUGAUGGAGCAACGCCGCGUGAGUGAAGAAGGUUUUCGGAUCGUAAAGCUCUGUUGUUGGUGAAGAAGGAUAGAGGUAGUAACUGGCCUUUAUUUGACGGUAAUCAACCAGAAAGUCACGGCUAACUACGUGCCAGCAGCCGCGGUAAUACGUAGGUGGCAAGCGUUGUCCGGAUUUAUUGGGCGUAAAGCGAGCGCAGGCGGAAGAAUAAGUCUGAUGUGAAAGCCCUCGGCUUAACCGAGGAACUGCAUCGGAAACUGUUUUUCUUGAGUGCAGAAGAGGAGAGUGGGAUUCCAUGUGUAGCGGUGGAAUGCGUAGAUAUAUGAAGAACACCAGUGGCGAAGGCGACUCUCUGGUCUGCAACUGACGCUGAGGCUCGAAAGCAUGGGUAGCGAACAGG